CUCCCACGAUCACUCUCAGCAGCUGCAAACCCUAAUCGAAGAUGAGCCGACACCCAGUUACGAAAUGGGCUCAAAGGUCCGACAAGGUUUUUAUCACUAUUGAACUGCCAGACGCAAAGGAUGUUAAGCUCACUUUGGAACCAGAAGGUCAUUUUCAUUUCUCUGCAGUUACUGGAGCUGAUAAUGUUCCAUAUGAGGUCGAUUUGGAUCUGCAUGACAAGGUCAAUGUGGAUGAGAGUAAAGCUGCUGUGGGCUUAAGGCACGUGUGCUACCUCGUGAAGAAAGCUGAGAAAAAAUGGUGGAGCAGGCUCUUAAAGCAGGAAGGGAAGCCUCCUGUGUUCUUGAAAGUUGAUUGGGACAAAUGGGUUGACGAAGAUGAAGAAGAUGAAAAGAAGCCUGGUGGGGACAUGGAUCCAGACUUUGGUGGGGACUUUGGUGGCAUGGAUUUCUCGAAGCUGGGCAUGGGAGGCAUGCCUGGUAUGGAAGGCUUGGGCGGCAUGGGAGGCAUGCCUGGUAUGGAAGGCUUGGGC
rnacentral:misc_RNA from 1 species